rnacentral:rRNA from 1 species
CCCCCAGACUCCUACGGGAGGCAGCAGUGAGGAAUAUUGGUCAAUGGGCGGGAGCCUGAACCAGCCAAGUCGCGUGAGGGAAGACGGUCCUAUGGCUUGUAAACCUCUUUAGGCGGGGAGCAAUGCCGGGCACGUGUGCCCGGAGGGAGAGUACCCGCAGAAUAAGCAUCGGCUAACUCCGUGCCAGCAGCCGCGGUAAUACGGAGGAUGCGAGCGUUAUCCGGAUUUAUUGGGUUUAAAGGGUGCGUAGGCGGAUUUUUAAGUCAGCGGUAAAAUGUCCGGGCUCAACCCGGGCCGGCCGUUGAAACUGGGGAUCUUGAGUGGGCGAGAAGUAUGCGGAAUGCGUGGUGUAGCGGUGAAAUGCAUAGAUAUCACGCAGAACUCCGAUUGCGAAGGCAGCAUACCGGCGCCCGACUGACGCUCAUGCACGAAAGCGUGGGUAUCGAACAGGAUUAGAUACCCGCGUU